rnacentral:rRNA from 1 species
AGGACGAACGCUGGCGGCGUGCUUAACACAUGCAAGUGGAGCGACGAACCGGGGCUUGCCCCGGGGCAGAGCCGCGAACGGGUGAGUAACACGUGGGUUACCUGCCCCAAUGACCGGGACAACCCGAGGAAACUCGGGCUAAUACCGGAUGUGGUCUUCGGACGAAAGGAAGCUUCGGCCUCCGCAUUGGGAUGGGCCCGCGGCGCAUUAGCUUGUUGGUGGGGUAACGGCCUACCAAGGCGACGACGGGUAGCCGGCCUGAGAGGGCGACCGGCCACGACUGGGACUGAGACACGGCCCAGACUCCUACGGGAGGCAGCAGUGGGGAAUAUUGCACAAUGGGCGAAAGCCUGAUGCAGCGACGCCGCGUGAGGGGUGACGGCCUUCGGGUUGUAAACCGCUUUCAGUUGGGACGAAGCUCUUCCGGUGAAUAGCCGGUAGGAGUGACGGUACCUUCACAAGAAGCCCGGCUAACUACGUGCCAGCAGCCGC